rnacentral:lncRNA from 12 species
AUUUUAUCCCAAUAAAUUUUUAUCUUAGGUAAAGAAAACCAAUUUUCAAGGACUUAAGCACCAAUUAUCAUUCCUCUUUUAUUCGACAAGCAUUGGCUAAUCACCUAUUUUAUCUAUUUUAUCUUGGACUUUAUGCUAUGAAUCACUAAGAUCACUCUUCUCAGUCACUGAGCACAAUUCUGAUGAAUUAGAAGUCAAAUCUGCUUGAUGAAGGAGCAAGCACAGCCAGAGAAUAAAAAUACUGGGUCGCUAACAGUACAGCCAAAAAGGAAAAGGUGAUGCUCCCCCAAAACGUUUGAAAAUCAAGCAAGAUACUGUUAUCGAAAGCAUCAGAAAGCUGUUGUCCAGACUGUGUGUUUUACUUGCCUAAGAUGUCCAGGAGGAAGAUUACUCUGUUUCUUCUGAGAGAAAACCAAUCAACCGACCAACCUGUGAUUUCUAGGCAAUCUUCAAAACGAGAAGCUUUGAACAAGAAAAUGUGUUGACAUUAUAGUUCAUCCAUUUUGAAUGUAAUCUAUCUCCGAGGCGAUGAUAUACAUAUCGUUGUUACCUACCGAAGAGCAAAUAAAACACAGUCAUGGUUUGUCUUUUUGUUGUCG